UACGGAGGGUGCGAGCGUUGUCCGGAAUCACUGGGCGUAAAGGGCGCGUAGGCGGCCGUGUAAGUCACCUGUGAAAUCCCGGGGCUCAACUCCGGGGCUGCAGGUGAGACUGCGUGGCUAGAGCACGGUAGAGGCGAGUGGAAUUCCCGGUGUAGCGGUGGAAUGCGUAGAUAUCGGGAAGAAUACCGGUGGCGAAGGCGGCUCGCUGGGCCGUUGCUGACGCUGAGGCGCGAAAGCGUGGGGAGCAAACAGG
rnacentral:rRNA from 1 species